rnacentral:rRNA from 1 species
AACGAACGCUGGCGGCAUGCCUAACACAUGCAAGUCGAACGAGACCUUCGGGUCUAGUGGCGCACGGGUGCGUAACGCGUGGGAACCUGCCCUUAGGUUCGGAAUAACUCCCCGAAAGGGGUGCUAAUACCGGAUAAUGUCUUCGGACCAAAGAUUUAUCGCCUUUGGAUGGGCCCGCGUUGGAUUAGCUAGUUGGUAGGGUAAAAGCCUACCAAGGCGACGAUCCAUAGCUGGUCUGAGAGGAUGAUCAGCCACACUGGGACUGAGGCACGGCCCAGACUCCUACGGGAGGCAGCAGUGGGGAAUAUUGGACAAUGGGCGAAAGCCUGAUCCAGCAAUGCCGCGUGAGUGAUGAAGGCCUUAGGGUUGUAAAGCUCUUUUAACCGGGAUGAUAAUGACAGUACCGGGAGAAUAAGCGCCGGCUAACUCCGUG